GACGAACGCUGGCGGCGUGGAUUAGGCAUGCAAGUCGAACGGUAGGAUACCUUCGGGUAUCUGAGAGUGGCGAACGGGUGAGUAACACGUAGGUGAUCUACCCUCAAGAUUGGGACAACCCAGGGAAACUUGGGCUAAUACCGGAUGAAAGCAGCAGUGAUGUUGUUUGAAAGGUGGCGUAAGCUGCCGUUUGGGGAUGAGCCUGCGCUCUAUUAGUUAGUUGGCGGGGUAAAGGCCCACCAAGGCGAUGAUAGAUAGGCGGCCUUAACGGGUGGUCGCCCACACUGGGAUUGAGAUACGGCCCAGACUCCUACGGGAGGCAGCAGUCGAGAAUAGUCUACAAUGGCCGAAAGGCUGAUAGUGCGACGCCGCGUGAACGAAGAAGCCCUUCGGGUGUAAAGUUCUUUUAUAUGUGAGCAGUGCUUUCUAUGUGAACAGCAUGGGGAGAGAGAUAUUAGCGUAUGAAUAAGCAACGGCUAACUCCGUGCCAGCAGCCG
rnacentral:rRNA from 1 species